rnacentral:rRNA from 1 species
GAUGAACGCUCGCGAUAGGCUUAACACAUGCAAGUCGAGGGGCAGCACAAGGUAGCUUGCUAUCUGGGUGGCGACCGGCGCACGGGUGCGUAACGCGUAUGCAACUUGCCCUAUACAGGAGGAUAACCCGUCGAAAGACGGACUAAUACUGCGUAUGCUCACAACUUGGCAUCCAGUGGUGAGGAAAGAAAUUCGGUAUAGGAUAGGCAUGCGUCCCAUUAGCUUGUUGGUGAGGUAACGGCUCACCAAGGCAACGAUGGGUAGGGGAACUGAGAGGUUUAUCCCCCACACUGGUACUGAGACACGGACCAGACUCCUACGGGAGGCAGCAGUGAGGAAUAUUGGGCAAUGGGCGCGAGCCUGAACCAGCCAAGUCGCGUGAAGGAUGACUGUCUUAUGGAUUGUAAACUUCUUUUAUACGGGAAUAACAAGAGUCACGUGUGACUCCCUGCAUGUACCGUAUGAAUAAGCAUCGGCUAACUCCGUG